rnacentral:rRNA from 1 species
UCCCACAGCUCAACUGUGGAACUNCCUUUGAUACUGCCAGUCUUGAGUAUAGUUGAAGUGGGCGGAAUGUGUCAUGUAGCGGUGAAAUGCUUAGAUAUGACACAGAACACCGAUCGCGAAGGCAGCUCGCUAAGCUAUAACUGACGCUCAUGCACGAAAGCGUGGGGAUCAAACAGGAUUAGAUACCCUGGUAGUCCACGCCGUAAACGAUGAUUACUCGAUGUUGGCGAUAUACAGUCAGCGUCUGAGCGAAAGCAAUAAGUAAUCCACCUGGGGAGUACGAUCGCAAGAUUGAAACUCAAAGGAAUUGACGGGGGCCCGCACAAGCGGAGGAGCAUGUGGUUUAAUUCGAUGAUACGCGAGGAACCUUACCUGGGCUAGAACGUAGAGUGACUGCAGGUGAAAGCCUGCUUCCCUUCGGGGCAGUCUACGAGGUGCUGCAUGGUUGUCGUCAGCUCGUGCCGUGAGGUGUCGGGUUAAGUCCCAUAACGAGCGCAACCCCUAUCUUUAGUUGCCAACAGGUCAAGCUGGGGACUCUAAAGAAACUGCCUACGCAAGUAGUGAGGAAGGCGGGGAUGACGUCAAAUCAGCACGGCCCUUACGUCCAGGGCUACACACGUGCUACAAUGGCCGAUACAGAGGGCAGCUACCAGGUGACUGGAUGCAAAUCUCCAAAGUCGGUCUCAGUUCGGAUCGGAGUCUGCAACCCGACUCCGUGAAGUUGGAUUCGCUAGUAAUCGCAUAUCAGCCAUGAUGCGGUGAAUACGUUCCCGGGCCUUGUACACACCGCCCGUCACACCACGGGAGUCGACUGGUCCCGAAGUGCGUGAGCUAACCAGCAAUGGAGGCAGCGUCCUAAGGAAUGGUCGGUGACUGGGGUGAAGUCGUAACAAGGUAACC